rnacentral:lncRNA from 1 species
CUUUUGCUGUCCAGGUAUACAUCUAUUUUAGUUCAUUUCAAUUCUUUUCAUCGUACAUUGUUAUUUAUCUCCAAAUAUAGUUAUUACUGUUAUAAAUGUCAUGUAGAUUUGGGUGUACGAGGCAAUCUCGGAGUUGAGAGCUCGAUUCUCGAGUAAGACUUGUGACGAUGUCCCGAGAAUGUUGCGGUGGUCUGGCACGAAACAACCUCAUUCCCGAACAUAUUCAGAUGUUUUGAGAAGACAGAUGUAAGUGAAUUACAUACAUAAUUACCUUACACUUUCGCAAUAUAUAAUAUUUCAUUUCGCCUAUUUUUCCUUCCCCUAUAGGUGCACAUGUGGGUAACGUUGCGCGCAACUGCUGCAGAAGAAUUGCAGCCGUACUUUGCCGAUCUAAUUCCAUUGGAAAACGUAGCUGACCCUGUUCUAGAUGGUCUUGUUGCUCAAUCAGUAGAAAUACAAGCUUGUUCAACUGAAGAUGAUGUCAUACGGAACGAUGACAACAACCAUCGACCAAAUAAUUCCCAGAGAGGCAACGAAGGUGGAUCUCGUCAUCGAGGUUUGCAUCACGUUGAAGGCAGAGAAAAAGAGCAUGGGGGUGCGAUCAUCGAAAGGACUAUGUGUUUAGAUGAGAUAAGAGCUAUUUGAACGAACAACGAGAGGUAUUUGAGAGCAAAAUGGGCAAUUUGAGGGAAGAGAUGAACACAAGAUUCACUAGUCUCCAAAAUGAUCUGGAAGGUCAUGUGUGUGGUUUGAGAAAUCAUGUCACUGAUGAGAUCAAUGUGCUUCGAAUAAGGUUUGAUGAAGUUGCUACAGAAAUUGGGCAACACAAUGUUGCUGCUGAGUAUGGUGGAUGUGGUCUGACGAUCACGGUGGAGACGAGCCCCGACGUGAUGUUUUAACUCUCAAUAUUUCUGCGGACAGACAGGAUGUCAGAGAGGCAACCAAACCAGUUGUUUGCAAUAUCCCUGAUGUGUCCAUAACGUCAGGAGGUGAGUUUGGAGUGCUCGGGUCAGUAUACGUUGCUUGUGAUAUUGUGAAAGAGGCACCAGCCAUUGUACUUACAAUUGGUGUAACCAUUGAUAAUCAGCUAGUUCAUGAUAGCGUUGUUUUUGGACCUUCGAUGGCAGAUGAUCUACCUAUAUGUAGACCUCGAUCGUUGAGGCUGAAGGAGGCUUUGCGAACACAAAAACGUCAUACACCCGACCUGGUCGCAAGAGGGGUAAGAGAUAUGCGUAGUCUGUGUAUUUUGGUUGACGGCACAUAAUGGUGAUUGGAUAUGAACUUCAGGUUGAUUCGAAUUAAGAGGUUCGCAUAUUUUGGUUUAUAUGGUGGUUUUUCAAUGUGUAUUUUGGUUUAUGUCAUGGUACGUAAUAUGUAUUUUGGUUUACACAGUGGUUUACAUAUUUUUGUUUAUAUGGUGGUAUGUAAUAUUUUGUGGAUGCAAACUUGUGGUUUAUUUGUUAGUGGCAUGUUUGGAAGGUUGUAUGUUGAAAACAGUUUAUAACCUUAUUAUCUCCUAUAGUGGACUAGUGUUAUGCAUUAGUACAUAUUCA